rnacentral:rRNA from 1 species
UUUCGCAAUGCCCGAAAGGGUGACGAUGCGACGCCGCGUGCGGGAAGAAGGCCUUCGGGUUGUAAACCGCUGUCGGGAGUUAAGAAAUGUAAGGAUGUUAAUAGCAUCUUUGCUUGACUAAGGCUCCGGAGGAAGCCACGGCUAACUCUGUGCCAGCAGCCGCGGUAAUACAGAGGCGGCAAGCGUUGUUCGGGGUUAUUGGGCGUAAAGAGCACGUAGGCGGCUAUGUAAGUCGGUUGUGAAAGCCUUCCGCUCAACGGGAGAACAGCAUCCGAUACUGCAUGGCUUGAGUGCGGGAGGGGAGAGUGGAACUUCUGGUGGAGCGGUGAAAUGCGUAGAUAUCAGAAGGAACGCCGGCGGCGAAAGCGGCUCUCUGGCCCAUAACUGACGCUGAGUGUGCGAAAGCUAGGGGAGCAAACGGGAUUAGAUACCCCGGUAGUCCUAGCCGUAAACGAUGGGCACUAAGUAGAGGGGUUUUA